AUGUAAACUUCUAAUGUUUUUCAGAUGGCUAAUGAACUAAAAGGGCUGAACCAGUGGUUAAGGGACAAUAAUGGAAAAAAUACUGCAGAUAAAGACAACAGAGAAAUUAAGAGAAAAUAGGGAUAAUAUGGAUAAUCGGGACAAUCAUAGAGACAGCAGAGAAUACCGAGAUUAUAGAGACAGAAGAAAUCAUCCAUAUAGAUAGAUAGAUGCUCAAACAGUAGUCAGUGAUUUGACUUCAAUUGUGACAAGUUGUUUUAUGACAGCGACAUUUUCCGCAUCAUAUAUAUAUAUAUAUAUAUAAA
rnacentral:lncRNA from 1 species